rnacentral:lncRNA from 12 species
CACAGCCCUACCUCUAAGUGACUUCACAAAAUGAUUGUGCACCUCCUAGUUACUGCUUGUUACCCUUCCAUGAUCUCCACACCCAACACACAUCUUUGCUUCUCUGUUAAUCAUAUGCUGGCUUUGGGAAUUAAGAAGGAAGAACACUACAAGAAAAUCUAAGGGGAAGCACAAUUCUGCUGCUGUACCUCCUGGGAAGCAUGUCCUGAGGCCCACCUUACAAGUGAUGCCCCUGCCUCUGCCCUGGCCACCCCAUCAUGGCUCCAUUGAUAUCUGUGUUCCCUCAGUCCAGAACUUUCACCCAAACUCAUAAGAGAAGUGAAUAGAUGGCUGGUUGAAGCACAUGGAAGUCCAUAUACAUCCAAGAAGAGGCUUCUACAAAUUUCACAUGGAUUCUCAGAACCAAAACUACAUUGCCAGAAAAGAUCCACCUUCAUUCUGUCAUGCACAACAGUGUUUACUUGUUCCUUACAAGAAAACAAGAAUUCCACCUACAUCAGAAUGUCCAGAAGAAGAUACUAGAGAGUUAGAUUAAUAAGGAUACCAG